rnacentral:rRNA from 1 species
CCUACGGGAGGCUGCAGUGAGGAAUAUUGGUCAAUGGACGAGAGUCUGAACCAGCCAAGUAGCGUGAAGGAUGACUGCCCUAUGGGUUGUAAACUUCUUUUAUAUGGGAAUAAAACGUUCCACGUGUGGGAUUUUGUAUGUACCAUAUGAAUAAGGAUCGGCUAACUCCGUGCCAGCAGCCGCGGUAAUACGGAGGAUCCGAGCGUUAUCCGGAUUUAUUGGGUUUAAAGGGAGCGUAGGUGGAUUGUUAAGUCCGUUGUGAAAGUUUUCGGCUCAACCGGAUAAUUGCAGUUGAAACUGGCAGUCUUGAGUACAGUAGAGGUGGGCGGAAGUCGUGGUGUAGCGGUGAAAUGCUUAGAUAUCACGAAGAACUCCGAUUGCGAAGGCAGUUCACUGGACUGCAACUGACACUGAGGCUCGAAAGUGUGGGUAUCAAACAGGAUUAGAUACCCUUGUAGUC